rnacentral:rRNA from 1 species
UGGGAGGUAGUGACAAUAAAUCACAAUGCGGGACUAUUUAGUUUUGCAAUUGGAUUGAGAACAAUGUACAAGAGUUAUCGAUAAACAAUUGGAGGGCAAGUCUGGUGCCAGCAGCCGCGGUAAUUCCAGCUCCAAUAGCGUAUAUUAACGUUGUUGCAGUUAAAAAGCUCGUAGUUGAAGUGUGGGAUAAUGUAUAUUUGAUCUUUUUAGAUAGGAUAUGUGUUGUCCCCCCUCCAAUUUCGGUCUGUGGGUAUUGAUUUACUUGCAGUUCGUGUUGGUCAUUUACUGUGAGAAAAUUAGAGUGUUCAAAGCAGGCAUUUGCUUGAAUAUAUUAGCAUGGAAUAAUCUUAAAAGGCUUGUAUGGUCGAUUUAAUUGGUUUGUUCAUAUAAGCAAGAUUAAUAGGGACAGUUGGGGGUAUUCAUAUUCAAUAGUUAGAGGUGAAAUUCUCGGAUUUAUGGAAGAUGAACAAGUGCGAAAGCAAG